GGUUAAGUGAAUAAGGGCGCACGGUGGAUGCCUUGGCACUAGGAGCCGAUGAAGGACGGGACUAACACCGAUAUGCUUUGGGGAGCUGUAAGUAAGCUAUGAUCCAGAGAUUUCCGAAUGGGGGAACCCAACAUCUUUUAUAGGAUGUUACGUAUACGUGAAUACAUAGCGUAUACGAGGUAGACGCAGAGAACUGAAACAUCUAAGUACCUGCAGGAAGAGAAAGAAAAAUCGAUUCCCCAAGUAGCGGCGAGCGAAAAGGGAACAGCCCAAACCAAGAUGCUUGCAUCUUGGGGUUGUAGGACUCCGAUAUGGUAGUUCUUUCAGAUAGUCGAAUGACUUGGAAAAGUCAGUCAAAGAGGGUAAAAACCCCGUAGACGAAAUUUGGAAGGCACCUAGGAGGAUCCUGAGUACGGCGGAACACGAGGAAUUCCGUCGGAAUC
rnacentral:rRNA from 1 species